UUCAUGUGUGUGUGUGCGUGCCUGUGUGUGUGUGUAUGUGUGCAUGCACACACACACACACACACACACACACACACACACACACAC
rnacentral:miRNA from 1 species